rnacentral:rRNA from 1 species
AGAGUUUGAUCCUGGCUCAGGAUGAACGCUGGCGGCGUGCCUAACACAUGCAAGUCGAGCGAUUUACUUCGGUAAAGAGCGGCGGACGGGUGAGUAACGCGUGGGUAACCUGCCCUGUACACACGGAUAACAUACCGAAAGGUAUGCUAAUACGAGAUAAAAUACUUUUAUCGCAUGGUAGAAGUAUCAAAGCUUUUGCGGUACGGGAUGGACCCGCGUCUGAUUAGCUAGUUGGUAAGGUAACGGCUUACCAAGGCGACGAUCGGUAGCCGACCUGAGAGGGUGAUCGGCCACAUUGGAACUGAGACGCGGUCCAAACUCCUACGGGAGGCAGCAGUGGGGAAUAUUGCACAAUGGGCGAAAGCCUGAUGCAGCAACGCCGCGUGAGCGAUGAAGGCCUUCGGGUCGUAAAGCUCUGUCCUCAAGGAAGAUAAUGACGGUACUUGAGGAGGAAGCCCCGGCUAACUACGUGCCAGCAGCCGCGGUAAUAUGUAGGGGGCUAGCGUUAUCCGGAAUUACUGGGCGUAAAGGGUGCGUAGGUGGUUUCUUAAGUCAGAGGUGAAAGGCUACGUCUCAACCGUAGUAAGCCUUUGAAACUGGGGAACUUGAGUGCAGGAGAGGAGAGUGGAAUUCUUAGUGUAGCGGUGAAAUGCGUAGAUAUUAGGAGGAACACCAGUUGGGAAGGCGGCUCUCUGGACUGUAACUGACACUGAGGCACGAAAGCGUGGGGAGCAAACAGGGAUUAGAUACCCUGGUAGUCCACCCCGUAAACGAUGAGUACUAGCUGUCGGAGGUUCCCCCCUUCGGUGGCGCAGCUAACGCAUUAAGUACUCUGCCUGGGAAGUACGCUCGCAAGAGUGAAACUCAAAGGAAUUGACGGGGACCCGCACACGUAGCGGAGCAUGUGGUUUAAUUUGAAGCAACGCGAAGAGCCCUACCUAAGCUUGACAUCCUUUUGACCGAUGCCUAAUCGCAUCUUUCCCUUCGGGGACAGAAGUGACAGGUGGUGCAUGGUUGUCGUCAGCUCGUGUCGUGAGAUGUUGGGUCAAGUCCCGCAACGAGCGGAACCCCUAUCCUUAGUAGCCAGCGGCAAGGCCGGGCACUCUAGGGAGACUGCCAGGGACAACCUGGAGGAAGGUGGGGAUGACGUCAAAUCAUCAUGCCCCUUAUGUCCAGGGCUACACACGUGCUACAAUGGCGUAAACAAAGGGAAGCGAAGCCGUGAGGUGGAGCGAAUCCCAAAAAUAACGUCUCAGUUCGGAUAUGUAGUCUGCAACUCGACUACAUGAAGCUGGAAUCGCUAGUAAUCGCGAAUCAGAAUGUCGCGGUGAAUACAAACCCGGGUCUUGUACUCUCCGCCCGUCA